rnacentral:rRNA from 1 species
UGCAGUCGAGCGGGGAUUGGGUGCUUGCACCUAAUCUUAGCGGCGGACGGGUGAGUAAAGCUUAGGAAUCUGCCUAUUAGUGGGGGACAACAUUCCGAAAGGGAUGCUAAUACCGCAUACGUCCUACGGGAGAAAGCAGGGGAUCACUUGUGACCUUGCGCUAAUAGAUGAGCCUAAGUCGGAUUAGCUAGUUGGUGGGGUAAAGGCCUACCAAGGCGACGAUCUGUAGCGGGUCUGAGAGGAUGAUCCGCCACACUGGGACUGAGACACGGCCCAGACUCCUACGGGAGGCAGCAGUGGGGAAUAUUGGACAAUGGGCGAAAGCCUGAUCCAGCCAUGCCGCGUGUGUGAAGAAGGCCUUUUGGUUGUAAAGCACUUUAAGCGAGGAGGAGGCUACUUGGAUUAAUACUCUAGGAUAGUGGACGUUACUCGCAGAAUAAGCACCGGCUAACUCUGUGCCAGCAGCCGCGGUAAU